GACGAACGCUGGCGGCGUGCUUAACACUUGCAAGUCGAACGGAAAGGCCCUGCUUUUGUGGGGUGCUCGAGUGGCGAACGGGUGAGUAACACGUGAGUAACCUGCCCUUGACUUUGGGAUAACUUCAGGAAACUGGGGCUAAUACCGGAUAGGAGCUCCUGCUGCAUGGUGGGGGUUGGAAAGUUUCGGCGGUUGGGGAUGGACUCGCGGCUUAUCAGCUUGUUGGUGGGGUAGUGGCUUACCAAGGCUUUGACGGGUAGCCGGCCUGAGAGGGUGACCGGCCACAUUGGGACUGAGAUACGGCCCCGACUCCUACGGGAGGCAGCAGUGGGGAAUAUUGCACAAUGGGCGGAAGCCUGAUGCAGCAACGCCGCGUGCGGGAUGACGGCCUUCGGGUUGUAAACCGCUUUCGCCUGUGACGAAGCGUGAGUGACGGUAAUGGGUAAAGAAGCACCGGCUAACUACGUG
rnacentral:rRNA from 1 species